UACGUAGGGUCCGAGCGUUGUCCGGAAUUACUGGGCGUAAAGAGCUCGUAGGUGGUUUGUCGCGUUGUUCGUGAAAACUCACAGCUCAACUGUGGGCGUGCGGGCGAUACGGGCAGACUAGAGUACUGCAGGGGAGACUGGAAUUCCUGGUGUAGCGGUGGAAUGCGCAGAUAUCAGGAGGAACACCGGUGGCGAAGGCGGGUCUCUGGGCAGUAACUGACGCUGGAGGAG
rnacentral:rRNA from 1 species